GGGGCACCUGAUCCUUCAUGCCGCGUGAGUGAAGAAGGCCUUCGGGUUGUAAAGCUCUUUUGUCAGGGAAGAAACACCGGCUCUAACACAGUCCGGGAAUGACGGUACCUGAAGAAUAAGCACCGGCUAACUACGUGCCAGCAGCCGCGGUAAUACGUAGGGUGCGAGCGUUAAUCGGAAUUACUGGGCGUAAAGCGUGCGCAGGCGGUUAUACAAGACAGGCGUGAAAUCCCCGGGCUUAACCUGGGAAUGGCGCCUGUGACUGUAUGGCUAGAGUGUGUCAGAGGGGGGUAGAAUUCCACGUGUAGCAGUGAAAUGCGUAGAUAUGUGGAGGAAUACCAAUGGCGAAGGCAGCCCCCUGGGAUAACACUGACGCUCAUGCACGAAAGCGUGGGGAGCAAACAGGAUUAGAUACCCUGGUAGUCCACGCCCUAAACGAUGCUGACUAGUUGUUCGGGAUUUACUUCCUGAGUAACGUAGCUAACGCGUGAAGUCAGCCGCCUGGGGAGUACGGUCGCAAGAUUAAAACUCAAAGGAAUUGACGGGGACCCGCACAAGCGGUGGAUGAUGUGGAUUAAUUCGAUGCAACGCGAAAAACCUUACCUACCCUUGACAUGUCACUAACGAAGUAGAGAUACAUUAGGUGCUCGUAAGAGAAC
rnacentral:rRNA from 1 species